GGCCUUGACAUACUAAGAACUUUCCAGAGAUGGAUUGGUGCCUUCGGGAACUUAGAUACAGGUGCUGCAUGGCUGUCGUCAGCUCGUGUCGUGAGAUGUUGGGUUAAGUCCCGCAGCGAGCGCAACCCUUUUCCUUAUUUGCCAGCGGGUUAAGCCGGGAACUUUAAGGAUACUGCCAGUGACAAACUGGAGGAAGGCGGGGACGACGUCAAGUCAUCAUGGCCCUUACGGCCAGGGCUACACACGUGCUACAAUGGUCGGUACAAAGGGUUGCUACCUCGCGAGAGGAUGCUAAUCUCAAAAAGCCGAUCGUAGUCCGGAUCGCAGUCUGCAACUCGACUGCGUGAAGUCGGAAUCGCUAGUAAUCGCGGAUCAGAAUGCCGCGGUGAAUACGUUCCCGGGCCUUGUACACACCGCCCGUCACACCAUGGGAGUUUGUUGCACCAGAAGUAGGUAGUCUAACCGCAAGGAGGACGCUUACCACGGUGUGGCCGAUGACUGGGGUGAAGUCGUAACAAGGUAGGCGUAGAUGA
rnacentral:rRNA from 1 species